rnacentral:rRNA from 1 species
UGGGGAAUAUUGGGCAAUGGGCGCAAGCCUGACCCAGCAACGCCGCGUGAGGGAAGAAGGUUUUCGGAUUGUAAACCUCUGUCCUAAGUGACGAAGGAAGUGACGGUAUUCUGUGAGGAAGCCCCGGCUAACUACGUGCCAGCAGCCGCGGUAAUACGUAGGGGGCGAGCGUUGUCCGGAAUUACUGGGCGUAAAGGGUGCGUAGGCGGUUGAUUAAGUUGGAUGUGAAAUACCCGGGCUUAACUUGGGGGGUGCAUUCAAAACUGGUUAACUAGAGUACAGGAGAGGGAAGCGGAAUUCCUAGUGUAGCGGUGAAAUGCGUAGAUAUUAGGAGGAACACCAGUGGCGAAGGCGGCUUGCUGGACGACAACUGACGCUGAGGCGCGAAAGCGUGGGGAGCAAACAGGAUUAGAUACCCUGGUAGU